rnacentral:rRNA from 1 species
GACGAACGCUGGCGGCGUGCUUAACACAUGCAAGUCGAACGGAAAGGCCCUGCUUUUGUGGGGUGCUCGAGUGGCGAACGGGUGAGUAACACGUGAGUAACCUGCCCUUGACUUUGGGAUAACUUCAGGAAACUGGGGCUAAUACCGGCUAGGAGCUCCUGCUGCAUGGUGGGGGUUGGAAAGUUUCGGCGGUUGGGGAUGGACUCGCGGCUUAUCAGCUUGUUGGUGGGGUAGUGGCUUACCAAGGCUUUGACGGGUAGCCGGCCUGAGAGGGUGACCGGCCACAUUGGGACUGAGAUACGGCCCAGACUACUACGCGUGGCAGCAGUGGGGAAUAUUGCACAAUGGGCGGAAGCCUGAUGCAGCAACGCCGCGUGCGUGAUGACGGCCUUCGGGUUGUAAACCGAUUUCGCCUGUGACGAAGCGUGAGUGACGGUCAUGGGUAAAGAAGCACCGGCUAACUACGUG